rnacentral:rRNA from 1 species
CCUACGGGAGGCUGCAGUAGGGAAUAUUGCUCAAUGGGGGAAACCCUGAAGCAGCAACGCCGCGUGGGGGAUGAAGGUUUUCGGAUUGUAAACUCCUUUUGUGAGAGAAGAUAAUGACGGUAUCUAACGAAUAAGCACCAGCUAACUCCGUGCCAGCAGCCGCGGUAAUACGGAGGGUGCAAGCGUUACUAGGAAUCACUGGGGGGAAAGAGCGCGUAGGCGGGAUAGAAAGUCAGAUGUGAAAUCCUAUGGCUUAACCAUAGAACUGCAUUUGAAACUGUUAUUCUAGAGUAUGGGAGAGGUAGGUGGAAUUCUUGGUGUAGGGGUAAAAUCCGUAGAGAUCAAGAGGAAUACUCAUUGCUAAGGCGACCUGCUAGAACAUAACUGACGCUGAUGCGCGAAAGCGUGGGGAGCAAACAGGAUUAGAUACCCGGGUAGUC